rnacentral:tRNA from 1 species
AAAGUUUUAGGUUAAAAAAACCUAUAGCCUUCAAUGCUAUGAUUAAGUUCAUUCUUAAACUUUA